rnacentral:rRNA from 1 species
CCUACGGGGGGCAGCAGUGAGGAAUAUUGGUCAAUGGCCGAGAGGCUGAACCAGCCAAGUCGCGUGAGGGAAGACGGCCCUACGGGUUGUAAACCUCUUUUGUCGGGGAGCAAAGAGAGUCACGUGUGACGCAUUGAGAGUAGCCGAAGAAAAAGCAUCGGCUAACUCCGUGCCAGCAGCCGCGGUAAGACGGAGGAUGCGAGCGUUAUCCGGUUUUCGUGGGGGUAAAGGGUGCGCAGGCGGAGGUGCAAGUCAGCGGUCAUAUGGCGGGGCUCAACCCCGUACUGCCGUUGAAACUGCAUCCCUUGAGUGCGCGAGAAGUAGGCGGAAUGCGUGGUGUAGCGGUGAAAGGCAUAGAUAUCACGCAGAACUCCGAUUGCGAAGGCAGCAUACCGGCGCGCAACUGACGCUCCUGCACGAAAGCGUGGGUAUCGAACAGGAUUAGAUACCCGUGUAGUC